AAAAACCGAACGCACCCAUUGAAACUGUUCACAAUUUCACAAAAUUUUUCCGACAAGAUUUUUAAAACAAGACCAUAUUUGAGCAUUAAGGAGAAAGAAAGCGAAGAUUCUAAGUAUGUGCAAUGAAGAAUUAAUCUGAGAGGAGGAGGGGUCUGUAAGAGGUAUUGGACAAUAGCAGAGCAACCGUAUAGAUUAAUGCAGUUUUACUACAAACUUUGCUGCUGUGCAUUGGAUGGGAAGUAAUGAAAUUCACGUUACUUUCAAUUAUCGGGAGUGCCGUGUAAAGUGUCGCGUGAUUAUCUUAGUUGGAUGAUGAAUUCACAUGUGCCGUAAUUAACCGUUGCAAAUGUUGUGUUUGUGUUGUAUGUGUGUGCAAUGAAGGAAUCUGAGAGGAGGAGGAGGCCUGGGAGGCAUCAGGCGACGGCGGAGCAACCAUGGAUUAAUGCAGUUUUGUAAACUCCGCUGCUGCGCAUCGGGCCGGUG